UUAGUUUAAGCUAUAUGAGACCUACAAGCUUAUGUUUCCUCCCAUUUCAAGAAAAAAACAAAAAUCAUUUUCUUGAUUUUCUUGAAAUUUCUGAAUUUUCUUGAUUUUCUUGAAUUUUCUUGAUUUUCAAAGGAGGAUGAAGCAGAUUGUGUAUACACAUUCUACGUCAGAACCGGAUCAACCUUCAAAGCCGGUACAGACUCGAUCAUAAGCGCUAGAGUCUACGACAAAUACGGAGACUACAUUGGGAUCAGAAACCUAGAAGCAUGGGGUGGUUUAAUGGGACCAGGUUACAACUACUACGAGAGGGGUAAUCUUGACAUCUUCAGUGGCAAAGCACCUUGUCUCCCGAGCCCAGUCUGUUCCUUGAACCUUACCUCUGACGGCUCCGGUGACCACCACGGCUGGUAUGCUAACUACGUGGAAGUCACGACGGCCGGAGUUCACGCUAAGUGCUCGUACCAAAGCUUCGAUGU
rnacentral:lncRNA from 1 species